UUUUAAUUUUCUAACCAAAUUCUUAUCAGUCUAGGAUUUGCUAGACAUGCAAUUUUAAUCUACUCCCCACUUAGUCUCUAAAACUAAUUAAAUGCUUAUACUGUUCAAGGUUUGUGCUCAAAAUGUCUACUGCCACUUCAAAUAGUGCAGAUGACCCCAUCUUUUCUACCAAUAAACCUGUAUGAUCAACAGACUUGACAUUUCCAUUGAGGUCUGUAAUUAGCUCUAUCUGAUUCUGGGUUAAAAGUUGCUGCUCUGAUUCGUUGAAUUGUCACCAUAACUUAAAAUCGAUUUCUAUUUUAGUGACCUGAACUGCAACCAUUACACCCUGACUAGUAAGUUACUUCUCAUAGAAUUCUUCCGAUUUGCUUGACC